UACAGAGGGGGCAAGCGUUGUUCGGAAUUACUGGGCGUAAAGGGCGCGUAGGCGGCCUGCUAAGUCGAACGUGAAAUCCCUGGGCUCAACCCAGGAACUGCGUCCGAUACUGGUUGGCUUGAAUCCGGGAGAGGGACGUGGAAUUCCAGGUGUAGCGGUGAAAUGCGUAGAUAUCUGGAGGAACACCGGUGGCGAAGGCGACGUCCUGGACCGACAUUGACGCUGAGGCGCGAAAGCCAGGGGAGCAAACGGG
rnacentral:rRNA from 1 species